rnacentral:rRNA from 1 species
AUUGAACGCUGGCGGCAUGCCUAACACAUGCAAGUCGAACGAGUGGCGGACGGGUGAGUAAUGUCUGGGAAACUGCCCGAUGGCGGGGGAUAACUACUGGAAACGGUAGCUAAUACCGCAUACUAUCUGAUCUGCCCAUAUGGGAUUAGCGAGUAGGUGGGGGAAAGGCUCACCUAGGAGACGAUCCCUAGCUGGUUUGAGAGGAUGACCAGCAACACUGGAACGUAGAAACGGGCCAGACUCCUACGGGAGGCAGCAGUGGGGAAUAGUGCACAAUGGGCUCAAGCCUGAUGCAGCCAUGCCGCGGGUAGGAAGAAGGCCUUCGGGUUGUAAAGUACUUUCAGCGGGGAGGCGUUAUCCGCAGAAGAAGCACCGGCUAACUCCGUGCCAGCAGCCGCGGUAAUUC